GACGUAGGGCGCGAGCGUUGUUCGGAUUCACUGGGCGUAAAGGGUGCGUAGGCGGUCGGGUAAGUCUGAUGUGAAAUCUCACAGCUUAACUGUGAAACUGCAUUGGAUACUAUCCGGCUCGAGGAAUGGAGGGGAGACUGGAAUACUUGGUGUAGCAGUGAAAUGCGUAGAUAUCAAGUGGAACACCAGUGGCGAAGGCGAGUCUCUGGACAUUUCCUGACGCUGAGGCACGAAAGCCAGGGGAGCAAACGGG
rnacentral:rRNA from 1 species